GAUGAACGCUGGCGGCGUGCCUAAUACAUGCAAGUCGAGCGAACGGACGAGAAGCUUGCUUCUCUGAUGUUAGCGGCGGACGGGUGAGUAACACGUGGAUAACCUACCUAUAAGACUGGGAUAACUUCGGGAAACCGGAGCUAAUACCGGAUAAUUUUUUGAACCGCAUGGUUCAAAAGUGAAAGACGGUCUUGCUGUCACUUAUAGAUGGAUCCGCGCUGCAUUAGCUAGUUGGUAAGGUAACGGCUUACCAAGGCAACGAUGCAUAGCCGACCUGAGAGGGUGAUCGGCCACACUGGAACUGAGACACGGUCCAGACUCCUACGGGAGGCAGCAGUAGGGAAUCUUCCGCAAUGGGCGAAGGCCUGACGGAGCAACGCCGCGUGAGUGAUGAAGGUCUUCGGAUCGUAAAACUCUGUUAUUAGGGAAGAACAUAUGUGUAAGUAACUGUGCACAUCUUGACGGUACCUAAUCAGAAAGCCACGGCUAACUACGUG
rnacentral:rRNA from 1 species